rnacentral:rRNA from 1 species
UACGUAGGGGGCGAGCGUUGUCCGGAUUUAUUGGGCGUAAAGAGCUCGUAGGCGGUUUGUCGCGUGGUCCGUGAAAACUCACAGCUCAACUGUGGGCGUGCGGGCGAUACGGGCAGACUGGAGUACUGCAGGGGAGACUGGAAUUCCUGGUGUAGCGGUGGAAUGCGCAGAUAUCAGGAGGAACACCGGUGGCGAAGGCGGGUCUCUGGGCAGUAACUGACGCUGAGGAGCGAAAGCGUGGGGAGCGAACAGG